UACAGAGGAGCCAAGCGUUGUCCGGACUGACUGGGCGUAAAGCGCACGCAGGCGGACGCGCGCGUGGGGUGUGAAAUCUGGCCGCUUAACGGCCAGGCGCCAUCCCAUACGGCGCGUCUGGAGUGAUGCAGAGGUCGAUGGAAUUGCCGGUGUAGUGGUGAAAUGCGUAGAGAUCGGCAGGAACACCCAGGGGGAAACCAGUCGACUGGGCAUCUACUGACGCUGAGGUGCGAGAGCGUGGGGAGCGAACCGG
rnacentral:rRNA from 1 species